rnacentral:rRNA from 1 species
UGGGGAAUUUUGGACAAUGGGCGAAAGCCUGAUCCAGCAAUGCCGCGUGUGUGAAGAAGGCCUUCGGGUUGUAAAGCACUUUUGUCCGGAAAGAAAUCCUUGGCUCUAAUACAGUCGGGGGAUGACGGUACCGGAAGAAUAAGCACCGGCUAACUACGUGCCAGCAGCCGCGGUAAUACGUAGGGUGCAAGCGUUAAUCGGAAUUACUGGGCGUAAAGCGUGCGCAGGCGGUUUGCUAAGACCGAUGUGAAAUCCCCGGGCUCAACCUGGGAACUGCAUUGGUGACUGGCAGGCUAGAGUAUGGCAGAGGGGGGUAGAAUUCCACGUGUAGCAGUGAAAUGCGUAGAGAUGUGGAGGAAUACCGAUGGCGAAGGCAGCCCCCUGGGCCAAUACUGACGCUCAUGCACGAAAGCGUGGGGAGCAAACAGGAUUAGAUACCCUGGUAGUCCACGCCCUAAACGAUGUCAACUAGUUGUGGGGAUUCAUUCCUUAGUAACGUAGCUAACGCGUGAAGUUGACCGCCUGGGGA